rnacentral:rRNA from 1 species
CACGGGCCCUCGAUACGCCCGUGGAAUGCCGUCGUUGCGAUCGUGGAUGGCAGCGCGCGCCGUCACGGCGUGCCCCGGCACUCGCGCGCUCCCGUCGUCGGCCCGCGGGCUCCCCAUUUGACCCGUCUUGAAACACGGACCAAGGAGUUUUACAUGUGUGCGAGUCAACGGGCGAGAAAACCCGUAAGGCGCAAGGAAGCUAAUUGGCGGGAUCCCCCCCGGGGGUUGCACCGCCGACCGACCUUGAUCUUCUGAGAAGGGUUCGAGUGAGAGCAUACCUGUCGGGACCCGAAAGAUGGUGAACUAUGCCUGAGCGGGGCGAAGCCAGAGGAAACUCUGGUGGAGGCCCGAAGCGAUACUGACGUGCAAAUCGUUCGUCUGACUUUGGUAUAGGGGCGAAAGACUAAUCGAACCAUCUAGUAGC